GCCGGGUGCGGUGGUGCAUGCCUGUAAUCCCAGCUACUCAGGAGGCUGAGGCAGAAGAAUCGCUUGAACUCAGGAGGCAGAGGUUGCAGUGAGCUGAGAUCACGCCACUGCACUCCAGCCUGGGUGACAGAGUGAGAGUCUGUCUCAA
rnacentral:sRNA from 1 species